GACGUCACAGGAAGCAGUGAGGCGGGGCUCCUCCUACUUCCGGAAUCUAAACCGAAAGUCAGAAGUUUGUCCGUUAUACAGAGAGACACGAGCGGAGUGAAGCAGCGGAUAAAGAAAUUAAAGAGGAAGAGCAGAACUGCAGGAGGGAAGUGUCAGAGCUUUAGCGCCCCCAGUGGCCGUGUAGAACGGUGCAGCGGUGACGUCACAUGAAGGGAGGAGGUCCUCCUACUUCCGGAAUCUAAAGCGAAAGUCAGAAGUUUGUCCGUUAUACAGAGAGACACGAGCGGAGUGAAGCAGCGGAUAAAGACAUGCAGUCCUGCAGCGUCCAUCACUGUGUCCUGUUCUUACUCACACUCACAUUCACCACUGAUCCUGGAUCAGCUGCUGAGUUUCCUAUUUAUGCGAAGCUCCAUCAGCCUGUGACUCUCCCAUGUGGAGCUCAGUGUUCUGGUCGGGCCAAAUGGAGUUUGGACAGUAAUAGAGACGACGUCUUCGCUCGGUGUGAUCAGACAUCAUGUAGAUCACUGAAGGACGGAUAUGAAAUGUCUUAUGAUCAGGUUAAGAAGGGAGAUCUCUCUCUCACCAUCACUAAAGCUGAUUACAGUAUGAGGAAGACGUACACGUGUGAGUGUGAUCUCUCAGACUACGCUACUGUGCGCCUCAGAAUCUCCCGUAAGUGUGUUUAUCUCUUCUACUGCUGAUAAAUCCUUCACUCUU